rnacentral:rRNA from 1 species
UACGAGAGGCCCAAACGUUAUUCGGAAUUACUGGGCUUAAAGAGUUCAUAGGCGGCAUGAAAAGUAGGGUGUGAAAGCCCUCGGCUCAACCGAGGAAUUGCGCUCUAAACUGUCGUGCUAGAGGAACCUAGAGGUGAGCAGAACUGAUGGUGGAGCGGUGAAAUGCGUUGAUAUCAUCAGGAAUACCGGAGGCGAAGGCGGCUCACUGGGGGUUUUCUGACGCUGAGGAACGAAAGCCAGGGGAGCGAACGGG